AUACGUAGGGGGCGAGCGUUGUCCGGAUUCAUUGGGCGUAAAGAGCUCGUAGGCGGCUUGGCAAGUCGGGUGUGAAAACUUCAGGCUCAACCUGGAGCGGCCACUCGAUACUGCCAUGGCUAGAGUCCGGUAGGGGACCACGGAAUUCCUGGUGUAGCGGUGAAAUGCGCAGAUAUCAGGAGGAACACCGGUGGCGAAGGCGGUGGUCUGGGCCGGAACUGACGCUGAGGAGCGAAAGCGUGGGGAGCAAACAGGA
rnacentral:rRNA from 1 species